ensembl:lncRNA
CGGAUGGUGCUAAGAACCCAGAGACAGAAGUAACAGGAUUGGGGUGGUGAUGCCAGAUAGAGGUAUAGGAUUAAAUAGAAGAACAUCUGAUAAAUUAGGCGUUUACACAGUGGAAAUGCUGGCUAUGUUAAUCGCAUUACGAUCGGUGGAAAAGACAGGACAGGACAAAGUUUUGAUAUGCUCAGAUUCAGCAUCAGCUCUAGCAAGUCUAAGAUCAUUCUAGUCAAAAAGUCGUCAAGAUAUACUGUUUGAAGAACUCCAGUCAGUAACAAGAAUAGUAAGUCAAGGAAGACAGGUGAAAUUUAUAUGGGUUCCAGGUCAGGUGAGGAUAAAGGGGAAUGAAAUGGCAGAUAAAUCAGCAAAAAGGGCGUUAACAAAAGGAAACAUAGAAAUGUAAGCGUUAGCAAAGCAGAGGUUAAAAGUGUAAUAUGGGAGAGAAUAAAUCAAAAGUGUAAAGAGAGAUGAGAUGGAGAAGGGAGGCACUUAUAUCAAAUCCAAAGGGACAUUAAACAUAAAAUUGUUGAUUGUUGAUUUUAUGUUUAAUGUUUAGUGGAAAUCGAAGAGAAGAAAUUGUGUUAACUAGGCUAAGACUGGGACACUGCUUAUUAAAUGAAACACUUAAAUUGAUAGGGAGGCAGGAUACUGGACCGUGUGAGGGCUGUCAGGAAGAGGAGUCAGUCCUGAGAUGCAGUAGGUAUGGAGCACAGAGAGAGGUGAUGAGGAAUGAGCUGAGGAGACCAUAGAGCAUAGACCAGAAUUCAAACUCCAAACAGACCCACCCUUCCAACCCUUCCAUGUCUAUUACAUCUCAACAGGCUGAACCUAAUGAUGUGGCACCGAGCUGUAGUUCAUGUUCUGAGACUGCAUACAGUAAGGCAAAGAAGAGAGAGCUUCAUGCCUGGGAUGCAGUCAAGGAUGAGAUGCUUAAGGCGUCGUUUGAAUGUUCAGCACCAAUCACUACCCAGUGUGUUGUCUGCCUAGAACAUGCUGAUUAUAGGUGCAUUGAGUGCAGCUCCACUGCAGUGUUUUGUGAGGCUUGUCUGAAGAGGACUCACAGAAAUUCACUGCAUCUUCCUGAUAAGUGGAAUAAUGCCUACUAUGAGCCAUCCUCCCUGGGGUUAUUCCUAGAUUUACCUGAAGGCCAUGGCACCCAUACUGUGUACACAAAGGACAUGAAGGUCAUUGUCAGCACAGGACGACUCCACACCGUCACAGUCAAUAUGUGUGCGUGUGAACCAGAAACCUGCACUUUGCUAAGGUAUGGGCUCUGGCCAGCAACAGCCGACAAGCCCCAGACAGCCUUCUCCAUCCCUCUGCUAGAGCUUUUUGUUUGUCUGUCACUGGAGAGUCAGGUGUCUGUUGAGGGUUUUUGCAGCACCCUGAGCUGGAAAAAUAACCAGUAAAGUACAGUAAGUCAGUUUGCAGAUGUCAGUUUGAAGUCUCGUCUGUGAAGUGAACAUUUCAGUUACUAUCAUGGAAUACUGACCAUAUAGAAGUGAGAAAUACACCUUCUUUCUUGAUUUUACUACAUUAAUUAUCACAAUUAAAAGUAAACAUUUAUGGAACCAUCUAGGAUUGUACAGUUGCAUGCAAAAGUAUUCUUGAUAUUUUUCUAUAAAAUAACAACUUCUGAGUGAACCACCAUCAUCACCACAUGUUACCAUACGAAAUAGUGUUUUCACUGACUGCUGCUUAUACCGUAGGUUAACACACUCUACAGAGCCCUGGUGGGGGAAUCCAUAUCCCAUUUUAGGCAUCACCACUUCCGACAAAGAAGUUUGGUAGAUAUUUGCCCACAGUUAGAUGAUGGGACCAUAUGCCCAGCAUGUCCAAAGGUUGGUUCUAGUUCCAGCGUGGUUCUUGUUUGAUUAGCCACUGUAUUUACCAUGACCUGAUGGCAUUGAAAUGAUAUCUGCAAUGUUAGUUAAUUUUUGUAUAAAGUAUUAUAAUAAAAUAGUAAUAGUAUAAAUGUAUAAACCUGGU